UACGUAGAAACAAAAAUGGCCGUGGAUGA
rnacentral:piRNA from 1 species